rnacentral:rRNA from 1 species
UACAGAGGAUGCAAGCGUUAUCCGGAAUGAUUGGGCGUAAAGCGUCUGUAGGUGGCUUUUUAAGUCCGCCGUCAAAUCCCAGGGCUCAACCCCGGGAGGCGGGUGGAUACUGUCAAGCUCGAGUCCGGAAGAGGCGAGUGGAAUUCCUGGUGUAGCGGUGAAAUGCGCAGAUAUCAGGAGGAACACCAAUGGCGAAGGCAGCUCGCUGGGACGUGACUGACGCUGAGACGCGAAAGCGUGGGGAGCAAACAGG